rnacentral:rRNA from 1 species
AUAUGGUCAAGCUACUAAGGGCAUACGGUGGAUGCCUAGGCGCGAUAAGGCGAUGAAGGGCGUGGCUAGCUGCGAUAAGCUUCGGGGAGCCGCUAAGCAGGCUUUGAUCCGGAGAUUUCCGAAUGGGGCAACCUGGUCCUGGUAAUUCGGGAUCAUCAGCCAUUGAAUACAUAGAUGGCUGAAGCGAACGGGGGGAAGUGAAACAUCUCAGUACCCCCAGGAAGAGAAAUCAAAUAGAGAUUCCCUAAGUAGUGGCGAGCGAACGGGGAAGAGCCCAAACCGCUGGAAGUAAUUCCAUCGGGGUUGUGGGGCUGCUUCAGGGUGGAGCCCGGAAAGUUAUCAAAUCAAUUCAUAUCCGAAAGCUCUUGGAAAGGACAACCAAAGAGGGUGAUAGUCCCGUAGGAGAAAUGAAUUGAUCUUUCUGGAAGCAGUUCCCGAGUACCGCGGGACACGAGAAAUCCCGCGGGAAGCAGGGAGGACCAUCUCCCAAGGCUAAAUACUAUCUUGCGACCGAUAGUGAACUAGUACCGCGAGGGAAAGGUGAAAAGAACCCCAGUGAGGGGAGUGAAAUAGUACCUGAAACUGUGUGCCUACAAGCAGUGGGAGGGAUCUGUCCUAAGCUUCGGCGAGGGAUAUGCCUGACCGCGUGCCUUUUGCAUAAUGAGUCUGCGAGUUACUCUACGUAGCAAGGUUAAGCCGUUGAGGUGAAGCCGUAGCGAAAGCGAGUCUGAAUAGGGCGAUUUAGUUGCGUGGAGUAGACCCGAAGCGGGAUGAUCUAUCCAUGGCCAGGAUGAAAUUUCGGUAACACGAAAUGGAGGUCCGAACUGGUGAAGGUUGAAAACUUCUCGGAUGAGCUGUGGAUAGGAGUGAAAGGCUAAUCAAAUUCCGUGAUAGCUGGUUCUCCCCGAAAUAUAUUGAGGUAUAGCCUCGUGUAUGGCGGGCGGAGGUAGAGCACUGGACGGGCUAAGGUCCUUACCGGGAUACUAAACCUAACCAAACUGCGAAUUCCGUCUUGUCUUAGCACGGGAGUCAGACUGCGGGAGAUAAGUUCCGUGGUCGAAAGGGAAAGAGCCCAGAUCGCCAGCUAAGGUCCCUAAAUAUGUGCUCAGUGGUAAAGGAUGUGGAAACGCACAGACAACCAGGAGGUUGGCUUAGAAGCAGCCAUCCUUUAAAGAAAGCGUAACAGCUCACUGGUCGAGUGAGUCUGCGCCGAAGAUGUAACGGGGCUA